rnacentral:tRNA from 1 species
GGGCCAUUAGCUCAGUUGGUAGAGCGCUACAUUCGCAUUGUAGAGGUCGGCGGUUCAAAUCCGCCAUGGUCCA